UUGCGUCCGCGAUGGAAGUCGCCGAGAAUUUGGGAUCCCAGGGAAAAGUGACGAGCGGCUUCAGCUCCAGCUUCCCGAGGCAACAACUUGGCUGGUGAACCCCACCGCCGGGCUGUCACCCUCCCCGUGGAGUUGGGGCGGGGAGUGGACGGAAACUUUUACCGUCACGGGCGGCGGGCAGACGUGGGGUCGUCCAGGGCCCGGGUUCCCCCAGCCAGCGCGCCUCUUUUUCAAAUUCCAUGAUUUGUACCCUGGAAUGGUUACUCCCUCUACAUCCUGAACACAUUUCCGAAACAAGUGAUGGUCUUGUCCUUUCUGCAUAUGAUGCACUGAGGAGGCAGAAGGUGGGCAGAUCUGCGGUGAGAGGAUGCAACAGGAGGAUCAGAUCCCUUUACGCGUUGAACGCUGAUCUUGGAGGGAAGUUCUUCUUCUUCUUCGACUGGUGGUCGCAGCUGGAUUGAAAUAUAAAAAAUAACAGAAGCAAAAUACAAAGAUUGUACAAAGAUAAGAGGUGAUUAAAGACUCUGUUGUGACCUAUGAAGAUGAAUAAUUAUGUAAUUUGAAAAAAAGUAUUUCAGCUCUCAUUGGGUUAAAUAAAUUUAAAAACCCGAGGUAAUUAUUUUUUUCAAUAUCAAAGAAGAUAACAGGAAAACAAAAUUAUGAUUCCAUUUCAUUAGGCGUGGAUGAGUGGACAACGUCCACAAUAUUGUCAUUAUGUUGUGAUCAUUCUUGUUUAUGUCUUCACUUCUAUAUCAAUAUUUGCAAAGAAAUUCAAGAAUUGGGAUGGACGUAUCAAAAUGUAUCUCCAAUUUGUGACGGUGCAAUUACUAGUCACUUCUACUGUCUCUUCAUUGUUUGAUAUUUCAUUGAUGUUCGAUACAAAAUGACAGGGUUGUCUCUGAUCGUAACUACCUAUUUUGUGUGUGUAUGUGAAGAAUAUUUUUACUUGUCAAUACUUGAACAAAACAAAAUGAUAGAGUAUCAUAAGUGCAAUGUCACAGAAUUUAUUGAACCCCCAAUUUCUAAAACCAUUAAUAAAGAAUAAAGCCCUUUAUAGAGGCACAUAAAA